rnacentral:rRNA from 1 species
GUCUCUUUGUUGUAUACAUAUAAAGAGUUGGGCCUGCUCGGUGAAUGAAAUGUUUUAACAGCUGCGGUAUUUUAACUGUACUAAGGUAGCAUAAUAAUUUGCCUUAUAAUUUGAGGCUAGAAUGAAUGGUUUGACGAAGGUUGAUCUGUCUCUAUCCUAUUUUUUAGAAAUUAAUUUUUAUAGUGAAAAAGCUUGAAUUUGUUAAAGGGACGAGAAGACCCUAUUGAGCUUGUAAUUUUAUUACUAUUUUAUGUUAUUGGUAUAAUGGUGUAUGAAUUUUAGUUGGGGUGACUAAGGAAUAAAUAUAAAUAGUAACUUCCUUAUAGUUGAUAUUGUUGAAUUAAGUAACCAAUAUUAUUGCUUGUAUUAUAGUUACCAUAGGGAUAACAGCGUAAUUUAUUUAGAGAGUUCUUAUUGAAAAAUAAGAUUGCGACCUCGAUGUUGGAUUAAAGUAACCUUAAGGUGCAGAAGCUUUAGAGGGUAAAUCUGUUCGAUUUUUAAAACUUUACA